rnacentral:rRNA from 1 species
UGAAUACGAGACGCUAAGGCGUCGAAGUAGUGUAUGUCAUACUUCCAAGAAAAGCUUGCACUGUCAUAGAUAAAAAACGCCUGUACCAUAACCGACACAGGUGGGUAGGUAGAGUAUACUAAGGGGCGCGAGAUAUCUCUCUCUAAGGAACUCGGCAAAAUAACUCCGUAACUUCGGGAGAAGGAGUGCCUUAUUCGUAAGGUUGCAAUAACAAGAUCCAAGCAACUGUUUAUCAAAAACACAGGUCUCCGCUAAGUCGUAAGACGAUGUAUGGGGGCUGACGCCUGCCCAGUGCCAGAAGGUUAAAGAAGUUGGUUAGCAAUUGCGAAGCUGAUAACUGAAGCCCUGGUGAACGGCGGCCGUAACUAUAACGGUCCUAAGGUAGCGAAAUUCCUUGUCGGGUAAGUUCCGACCCGCACGAAAGGCGUAAUGAUUUGGAUACUGUCUCGGAGAGGGGCUCGGUGAAAUAGACUUGUCUGUGAAGAUGCGGACUACCUGCACCAGGACAGAAAGACCCUAUGAAGCUUUACUGUAACUUGAAAUUGAAAUUGGACUUUAUUCGCGCAGUAUAGGUGGGAGGCGUUGAUUAUAAUCUUGUGGGAUUAUUGGAGCCAUCAGUGAGAUACCACUCUUGUAAUGUUAGAUUUCUAACUUUGAAUCAUUAUCUGGUCAAAGAACAGUUUCAGGCGGGCAGUUUGACUGGGGCGGUCGCCUCCUAAACGGUAACGGAGGCGUACAAAGGUUUCCUCUGAACGGUUAGAAAUCGUAUCUAGAGUGUAAAGGCAUAAGGAAGCUUGACUGUGAGACCUACAAGUCGAGCAGGGACGAAAGUCGGUCUUAGUGAUCUGACGGUACUGAGUGGAAAGGCCGUCACUCAACGGAUAAAAGUUACUCUAGGAUAACAGGCUGAUCUCCCCCAAGAGUUCACAUCGACGGGGAGGUUUGGCACCUCGAUGUCGGCUCAUCGCAUCCUGGGGGCGGUAGUACGUCCCAAGGGUUGGGCUGUUCGCCCAUGAAAGCGGUACGCGAGCUGGGUUCAGAACGUCGUGAGACAGUUCGGUCCAUAUCCGGUGUAGGCGUUAGAAUAUUGAGAGGAGCCUUCUUUAGUACGAGAGGACCGAGAAGGACAUACCUCUGGUGUACCAGUUAUCGUGCCAACGGUAAACGCUGGGUAGCUAUGUAUGGAGUGGAUAACCGCUGAAAGCAUCUAAGUGGGAAGCCCACCUCAAGAUAAGUAUUCUCAU